CGAUACGGGACUCAUCCGAGGCCCCGUAAUCGGAAUGAGUACACUCUAAACCCUUUAACGAGGAUCAAUUGGAGGGCAAGUCUGGUGCCAGCAGCCGCGGUAACACCAGCUCCAAUAGCGUAUAUUAAAGUUGUUGCGGUUAAAAAGCUCGUAGUCGAAUUUGUGUCCCGCGCCGCCGGUUCAUCGCUCGCGGUGUUAACUGGCGUGUCCGCGGGACGUCCUGCCGGUGGGCUUAGCUUUCGGGCGGCCCAAUCUCAAUCCCACCGCGGUGCUCUUUACUGAGUGUCGAGGUGGGCCGGCACGUUUACUUUGAACAAAUUAGAGUGCUUAAAGCAGGCUAAAAUAUCGCCUGAAUACUGUGUGCAUGGAAUAAUGGAAUAGGACCUCGGUUCUAUUUUGUUGGUUUUCGGAACCCCGAGGUAAUGAUUAAUAGGAACGGAUGGGGGCAUUCGUAUUGCGACGUUAGAGGUGAAAUUCUUGGAUCGUCGCAAGACGGACAGAAGCGAAAGCAUUUGCCAAAAACGUUUUCAUUGAUCAAGAACGAAAGUUAGAGGUUCGAAGGCGAUCAGAUACCGCCCUAGUUCUAACCAUAAACGAUGCCAGCUAGCGAUCCGCCGACGUUCCUCCGAUGACUCGGCGGGCAGCUUCCGGGAAACCAAAGCUUUUGGGAUCCGGGGGAAGUAUGGUUGCAAAGCUGAAACUUAAAGGAAUUGACGGAAGGGCACCACCAGGAGUGGAGCCUGCGGCUUAAUUUGACUCAACACGGGAAACCUCACCAGGCCCGGACACCGGAAGGAUUGACAGAUUGAGAG
rnacentral:rRNA from 1 species